AGAGUUUGAUCCUGGCUCAGGAUAAACGCUGGCGGCGCACAUAAGACAUGCAAGUCGAACGGACUUAAUCGAGAUAUUUAGAGCUUGCUUUGGAUAUCUUAGUGGCGGACGGGUGAGUAACGCGUGAGUAACCUGCCUCUUAGAGGGGGAUAACGUUCUGAAAAGAACGCUAAUACCGCAUGAUAUUGCGAAACCGCAUGGUUUUGCAAUCAAAGGAGCAAUCCGCUGAGAGAUGGACUCGCGUCCGAUUAGCCAGUUGGCGGGGUAACGGCCCACCAAAGCGACGAUCGGUAGCCGG
rnacentral:rRNA from 1 species